rnacentral:rRNA from 1 species
UACGGGGGGGGCAAGCGUUGUUCGGAAUUACUGGGCGUAAAGGGCUCGUAGGCGGCCAACUAAGUCGGACGUGAAAUCCCUCGGCUUAACCGGGGAACUGCGUCCGAUACUGGAUGGCUUGAGUUCGGGAGAGGGAUGCGGAAUUCCAGGUGUAGCGGUGAGAUGCGUAGAUAUCUGGAGGAACACCGGUGGCGAAGGCGGCAUCCUGGACCGACACUGACGCUGAGGAGCGAAAGCCAGGGGAGCAAACGGG